UAAGUAUAGUCAAUUCCAGGAUAAAUUAUAUGAAAUAUGGACACCCAAAAAUUUCACUUCAGAUGUAGUGGGUAACAAACAAUUAUUAUAUUGCACAGCAGGUGUACUGUGACAAUGUUUACCAAAUACAAUAACUUUAGACUUGGAUGGAUUCACACUGAGAUCAAGGAAUCCCUAUUUGUAAUAACUCAAGGCAUAGAAUAUCUAUGUUUACACUAUUAAAAGCACCUGCGAUGUCAAAGAAUACACCGACCAAGUUUUCAUUUGCGGAUAUAGAGUUUUGUAUAUCCAGCUGUAACUGGCAAACGCUUUCUAGCAGAACGAUUUCUACGAAAACCAAAUUGAUUGGAAGGAAUAUGAUAACUAGUACCAAGAGGACAAUCAUGUACAGACCAGUCACAGUUGAGAGCCAGUGAUGAAGAUACCAAUGAUAAAUCCAAAGCAUUGGGUCGCCAUGUUGGAGAACCGAUAGUCGUUGCUUGCCCAUCAUUAAGGAGAACCAAAUUAUUAUCCUCAAUAACCUCUAGAAUAUUUCGACCACGCGGGCUGUCGGAACCACAGCCCCAACAAGUGUGAUGAGCGUUAAAAUCGCCCGCAAAUAUGAAAGGACUAGGAAUAGACUUAACCAAUGUAUCAAAAUUGUUUUUGCUGAAGACUGGGUUAGAGUUUAAAGGACUAUAGAAACUAACUAUACAUAUAUCUUUAUUAUUAACUGUUAUUUUCACACAUACAUUUUGUAAGGAAUUAUCGAAAUAGGUGUUAAUUCUAGAAUAAAUAAUGCUUUUAUGUAUUAUAAUUGCAACACCAUUGUGUUUGUUACCACAAUCAUUCCUUUCAACAUUGUAAUUUUUAAUUUUAAAAUUUUGUUCAGGUUUUAACCAAGUUUCACUGAUUAUAGCAAUAUGAAUAUUGUGUGUAUAAAGAAAAUUAAUAAAUAUAUGUUUGUUACUAUUCAGACUUUGGGCAUUCCAUUGUAUUAUAUUUAAAGUUGAUAAAUCCAUUAUGAAGAUGAAGGGAAUUUAUUACUUAGCGUUGCUUUUAAAACUUCUUUAAUGGAAGUAGAAUUAAUAGGGGCAUCUUUAUUACUUAUUAUUUUAAUAAUUGUUUCAACUAAUGUGCUUAUAAAUGUAUCCGAUUUCAUUAAAUUAUUAAUUUGCGUAUCUAAAGUACGAGCAGAAAGAGCUGGAAAUGCAUUGGAGUCAAAAAGUUCUGAAUAUGUGGCAUUUCUAGAUUUUAUUUUAUUUUCUUCAA
rnacentral:lncRNA from 1 species